AAAAAAAUGUAAAUUACAUGAAACUUCUUGUAAAUUAGUGAAGGCACAUUAACCUCUUAAGAAGUAAGAGAGGAAUUGGAUAGCCUAAGGCACUCGCUUUGGCACCUCCGUAGACAGACAUCAUUCCAGUUGGGCACUUGAUGUUGAUUAACACAGACAGUUCUCGCGCAAGCAUCAGCACAAGCAUCAAGCUCAGAAACACCACAAACGGUGACACAGGUAUCAAUGGUAGGGUCUUUAGAUAAUGCACCAACCUUUUUUAACAUCCUCUUAGAAGUGCACACCCUCUCACAAACAAAAAUUUCAUCAGAGCUUUUCUCACGUCCUCUGGCAGUCUUUAGCCUCUGCUCUUCAGCUCUCUUUUUCUUCAUCCUAAAAGCUUGCCCUGCAAUAACAGCUGGUAUUGCAGCACUUAACAGAAACCACCAUGGAUCCACCAUAGCUGGAAUCCUGCAUGGAGGGUUUAGAUGCGAAGGAUUACAGCGUAGAAAGGGUUUUGACGGAGUAAACUAAUAGGCGCUCCGCUUCACGAGUGAGCGCAAGGUAAGACACACUGUACUUUUGGAUCUAGC
rnacentral:misc_RNA from 1 species